rnacentral:misc_RNA from 1 species
GGAUCAUUAUUGAAUUGUAAAAAUGGGGAGUUGCUUUCGAGCACUCCUCUAUAUUCUUAAUUCCUAAACACCUGUGAAUCGUUGCUGAGCUCGCUCAGUGGCACAAUCUUUUAUACACACUUUAUAGUUUUGAACGUAAUAAACAAAAAAAAAAAAAUAUAACUUUUGACAACGGAUCUCUUGGUUCUCCCAUCGAUGAAGAACGCAGCGAAAUGCGAUAAGUAAUGUGAAUUGCAGAAUUCAGUGAAUCAUCGAAUCUUUGAACGCACCUUGCGCUCCUUGGUAUUCCUUGGAGCAUGCCUGUUUGAGUGUCUUGAAUAUCUCUGCUCCUCAAUUUUUUAAUUAAAGUUGGUUUGGAGUCAGGUCCUUGGGCUUGCUUGCGGUUUGUUACGAACACAAGCUUGCCUUAAAUGUAUUAGCUGGAUUUCAGUAGAGUUGUUAAGUAACAUUGAAAACUCUCGUAAUAUGAAGUCUGCUUUCUAACCCGUCGCUUCUUGUUUCUAAAGUCGCACACAAUUCAUUUCUUGGCCUCAAAUCAGGUAGGACUA